GAGGGUGUAGCUCAGUUGGUCAGAGCGUCUGACUGUGGCUCAGAAGGUCGUGGGUUCGAAUCCCAUCACCCUCCCCA
rnacentral:tRNA from 1 species